rnacentral:rRNA from 1 species
UACGUAGGGUCCGAGCGUUGUCCGGAGUUACUGGGCGUAAAGCGCGCGCAGGCGGCUCGGCAAGCAUGGCGUGAAAGCCCCCGGCUCAACCGGGGAGAGUCGUCGUGGUCUGCCGGGCUUGAGGGCGGUAGGGGUUGGUGGAAUUCCCGGUGUAGUGGUGAAAUGCGUAGAGAUCGGGAGGAACACCCGUGGCGAAGGCGGCCAACUGGGCCGACCCUGACGCUGAGGCGCGAAGGCGUGGGGAGCGAACGGG